AGGGAAUCUUCGGCAAUGGGGGCAACCCUGACCGAGCAACGCCGCGUGAGUGAAGAAGGUUUUCGGAUCGUAAAGCUCUGUUGUAAGUCAAGAACGGGUGUGAGAGUGGAAAGUUCACACUGUGACGGUAGCUUACCAGAAAGGGACGGCUAACUACGUGCCAGCAGCCGCGGUAAUACGUAGGUCCCGAGCGUUGUCCGGAUUUAUUGGGCGUAAAGCGAGCGCAGGCGGUUUGAUAAGUCUGAAGUUAAAGGCUGUGGCUCAACCAUAGUUCGCUUUGGAAACUGUCAAACUUGAGUGCAGAAGGGGAGAGUGGAAUUCCAUGUGUAGCAGUGAAAUGCGUAGAUAUAUGGAGGAACACCGGUGGCGAAAGCGGCUCUCUGGUCUGUAACUGACGCUGAGGCUCGAAAGCGUGGGGAGCGAACAGGAUUAGAUACCCUGGUAGUCCACGCCGUAAACGAUGAGUGCUAGGUGUUGGAUCCUUUCCGGGAUUCAGUGCCGCAGCUAACGCAUUAAGCACUCCGCCUGGGGAGUACGACCGCAAGGUUGAAACUCAAAGGAAUUGACGGGGGCCCGCACAAGCGGUGGAGCAUGUGGUUUAAUUCGAAGCAACGCGAAGAACCUUACCAGGUCUUGACAUCCCGAUGCUAUUUCUAGAGAUAGAAAGUUACUUCGGUACAUCGGUGACAGGUGGUGCAUGGUUGUCGUCAGCUCGUGUCGUGAGAUGUUGGGUUAAGUCCCGCAACGAGCGCAACCCCUAUUGUUAGUUGCCAUCAUUCAGUUGGGCACUCUAGCGAGACUGCCGGUAAUAAACCGGAGGAAGGUGGGGAUGACGUCAAAUCAUCAUGCCCCUUAUGACCUGGGCUACACACGUGCUACAAUGGUUGGUACAACGAGUUGCGAGUCGGUGACGGCGAGCUAAUCUCUUAAAGCCAAUCUCAGUUCGGAUUGUAGGCUGCAACUCGCCUACAUGAAGUCGGAAUCGCUAGUAAUCGCGGAUCAGCACGCCGCGGUGAAUACGUUCCC
rnacentral:rRNA from 1 species